rnacentral:lncRNA from 1 species
CGGGGUGUGUCCCGACCUUAGUUAAACUCUGUGUAUUGUCUAGAGGCUUUGUAGACCUAAUGUACAGUCAAGGUGGUAUUUUGUUAAUAGACAUGAUGGCUCCAACGGCCAAGUAUUAUAUAUACAUAUAUAUGUGUGCUCGAGCUUAUAGAGGUGAUUAUUUCCUUUUAUAUGCGAUAUGAUGCUAUCUGAAUUUUGGGUUGUCAUAAAGGUAUGCAUGGGAAGUAUAAGGUUAUGAGCUGGUUCCCUC